GAGGAAUAUUGGUCAAUGGGCGAGAGCCUGAACCAGCCAAGUAGCGUGCGGGAUGAAGGCCCUUGUGGUCGUAAACCGCUUUUAUCAGUGAAUAAAGUGCACCACGUGUGGUGUCAUUGCAGGUAGCUGAAGAAAAAGGACCGGCUAAUUCCGUGCCAGCAGCCGCGGUAAUACGGAAGGUCCGGGCGUUAUCCGGAAUUAUUGGGUUUAAAGGGAGCGCAGGCGGGAGUAUAAGUCAGCUGUUAAAUAUCAGGGCCCAACUCUGUUAUGCAGUUGAAACUAUAUUUCUUGAGUACGCACAGGGAUGGCGGAAUUCAGGGUGUAGCGGUGAAAUGCUUAGAUAUCCUGAAGAACUCCGAUCGCGAAGGCAGCCAUCCGGAGCGUAACUGACGCUGAGGCUCGAAGGUGCGGGUAUCGAACAGGAUUAGAUACCCUGGUAGUCCGCACGGUAAACGAUGAAUACUCGCAGUUCGGCCUUUUAGGUCGAGUUGUCCAGCGAAAGCGUUAAGUAUUCCACCUGGGGAGUACGCCGGCAACGGUG
rnacentral:rRNA from 1 species